rnacentral:lncRNA from 1 species
GAAGAAGUCAUUUACCACAUUGAAACAUAUGAUGUAACGACUAUCAGAGCAAGUACUCCAAUGUUCCUUAUGUCCAGAAAAAUCAAAUCCAUGGGAGUGAAAAUGGUUCUUUCGGGAGAAGGUUCAGAUGAAAUAUUUGGAGGUUACCUAUAUUUCCAUAAAGCACCUAAUAAGGAAGAGUUUCAUGAAGAAACAUGUCGAAAAGUAAUAGCAAAUUGUUACAUCUGUAGAAGGGAACAAAGACAAAAACUUGAAAAUCGUCCCUAUACCAGGAUAAAUCUUUAGAUACUGUCUCUACUUCUAAAAUAGAGAGACACUAAAAACAUGUCUUAGGAAUAUUUUUAAACUAAUUUGUGUAUCUUCUAAAAGAAGAGAUGUUGUUGGAGACGUAUCUCUAUCAUCCUUCGUCUCUUGGUACGAACCAAAUGCUGGUGAGCUAUCUAUUGUCCAAUUUAAGUCAAUUCGAAAUAUUUCCAGAAUGGUUUUAGUGGCUUUAAAAAGUGAAAUAAAUCACGAGCUGGUUGCCAUCUCAGUGUUUCCAGCAGUUGAAACAUUUUGAGUGUCUAAACCAAUACAUACCCUUGUGUUUUAAGUAUAAUUAACACUACACAACAUAUUGGUUUUCAAACACAAUUUAAUCCUCUCAGUAUAUGGCUUGUUUGUUUAUGCUUUUGUGUCACAUUAAUGAAUCAAAUGUUUUACCUAUGGAAGGGAUGAUUUAUUUGCAGGAUCGACAUGGUUUGCGUCUGAAAUGAAAGCUUUAAGUGAUGAUUGUGAGAGAUUCAUAUCUUUUCCGCCAGGGCAUAUAUAUUCCAGCAAACAGGGUAUAGACAUGUUCAUGCCUUGUAUUCUUGUUCUUUAAAUUAUAAAUUUUUUUUAUAUAUUAUGUAAUCCAUGAACAUUGUUGAAAUAUGUUGUGCUUGUAGGAGGAUUAAGAAGAUGGUACAAUCCACCAUGGUUCACAGAGCAAAUUCCAUCAACACCCUAUGAUCCUCAGAUCCUACGUCAAGCCUUUGAAAAGGUACGACACUAUUUGGUCGUUACAAUGUAAUUCCUUUUCCACUUUGAAAUGAUUCUUCCUCAUUUUAAAAUUUCAAUUAUUCUGCAUAUAUAUUCUUAGAGAGUGGUUCAGAUACUCUUCAAAACUUUAGAUAGCCUGGCAUGCCGUAUUUGUGACUAUUGUACGCUUUGUUUAGGAAUCUGAAACCAUUAGUUUUGAUCGGCAAACUACUUAGGUGGAAGAAGCGUGACAGUAAAUUUUGGGGGAAAAACAAAGAAAUUGAUGCUUGGCAUUUAGGCGACAUAGGAGUUCAGUAAUUUUUUAAUUAUUUUUGUGAUUUGGUUCUGAUUGAUUAUAAAAUGGAAUCGGAGAAUGCAGAUUGAAGCAUAGAGGACCUGAUUGGAGUGGAUUGCAUUGCCAUGGAGAUUGUUAUCUUGCUCAUCAAAGGCUUGCUAUUGUUGACCCCACUUCAGGGGAUCAACCUCUUUAUAACGAGGACAAGACUGUUGUUGUCACAGUAUGCACCAGUCACCUAUGAUUACAUUAUUAUUAUAAUUAUAUAUUUGUAUCAUUUGAAUGUUCUUUAGAAGAAUGCUUUAUUUAUUUCUUUUAAUUCCGAAAGUCAGAUGAAUGUGGUAAUAUGGAGCUUUUUAAGUCUACAGUCGAUGCCUAUUGAUAGUAAUGUAUAUUUCUAUUUAUUUUCUCCCAAUAAUUUUUGGAUGAGGUUAUAUUGCACAAAACAUAAUACAAAUAUGCAUUGUGUCAUAUAAUCUAAUUCUGAAAGAUGUUAGUAUAUAUGAUUUACGAAUAAAGAGGUGUUGUGUGUUAUACUAUUUAGACAAGAGGCUCUAGUAACGUGUACUUUUUUGAGCAUGUAUAAGAGUUGACAUUAAAAAUCAGUUGUCCAAAAAAUGGAGUUCAAAUAUACUCAUGUGUGCAAUCCUUUUUAUUGAACUAAUUUUGAUGAUAUGUAUGUUUAGUAAAGUUUCCAAAUGUUUUAGCCUUAUAUAUUUUCUUUUCUUGUUGAAACUGUGCCAUUAGGUAAAUGGGGAGAUCUAUAACCAUAAGGAACUGAGACAGAAAUUGAGUUCCCACCAGUUUCGAACUGGAAGCGACUGUGAAGUCAUUGCUCAUCUUGUAAGUGUUAAGAAAUCUUUUAUAUUUACUGAUUAUUGAUCAACUUCCCCCCAUGAGUUAUAUGUAUUAUCUGUAAAAUGUACUUUUGUUUCGUUUCAUCUUUAUCAUAACAUGGUUAUCAUGCAGUACGAAGAGUAUGGAGAAGAAUUUAUUGAUAUGCUGGAUGGGAUGUUCUCCUUUGUGCUUCUUGACACAAGAGAUAAAAGCUUCAUUGCUGCUCGUGAUGCUAUAGGCAUUACCCCUCUUUACUUGGGAUGGGGGCUUGAUGGUUUGUGGCUUCCUCUUCUUGUUUUUGAUAUUAUGAGACAUUUUUGAAUGUUUCACCUUGAGCUUAAUGAUGUCCCACAUCUCAAAGGUUGUGUUUGGUUACUAUUCUGAGAUAAAGGAAACACAUACACCGGGGGAUAGAAAUAAAUUUGUAGAAGGGAACAAAGACAAAAACUUGAAAAUCGUCCCUAUACCAGGAUAAAUCUUUAGAUACUGUCUCUACUUCUAAAAUAGAGAGACACUAAAAACAUGUCUUAGGAAUAUUUUUAAACUAAUUUGUGUAUCUUCUAAAAGAAGAGAUGUUGUUGGAGACGUAUCUCUAUCAUCCUUCGUCUCUUGGUGCGAACCAAAUGCUGGUGAGCUAUCUAUCGUCCAAUUUAAGUCAAUUCGAAAUAUUUCCAGAAUGGUUUUAGUGGCUUUAAAAAGUGAAAUAAAUCACGAGCUGGUUGCCAUCUCAGUGUUUCCAGCAGUUGAAACAUUUUGAGUGUCUAAACCAAUACAUACCCUUGUGUUUUAAGUAUAAUUAACACUACACAACAUAUUGGUUUUCAAACACAAUUUAAUCCUCUCAGUAUAUGGCUUGUUUGUUUAUGCUUUUGUGUCACAUUAAUGAAUCAAAUGUUUUACCUAUGGAAGGGAUGAUUUAUUUGCAGGAUCGACAUGGUUUGCGUCUGAAAUGAAAGCUAUAAGUGAUGAUUGUGAGAGAUUCAUAUCUUUUCCGCCAGGGCAUAUAUAUUCCAGCAAACAGGGUAUAGACAUGUUCAUGCCUUGUAUUCUUGUUCUUUAAAUUAUAAAUUUUUUUUAUAUAUUAUGUAAUCCAUGAACAUUGUUGAAAUAUGUUGUGCUUGUAGGAGGAUUAAGAAGAUGGUACAAUCCACCAUGGUUCACAGAGCAAAUUCCAUCAACACCCUAUGAUCCUCAGAUCCUACGUCAAGCCUUUGAAAAGGUACGACACUAUUUGGUCGUUACAAUGUAAUUCCUUUUCCACUUUGAAAUGAUUCUUCCUCAUUUUAAAAUUUCAAUUAUUCUGCAUAUAUAUUCUUAGAGAGUGGUUCAGAUACUCUUCAAAACUUUAGAUAGCCUGGCAUGCCGUAUUUGUGACUAUUGUACGCUUUGUUUAGGAAUCUGAAACCAUUAGUUUUGAUCGGCAAACUACUUAGGUGGAAGAAGCGUGACAGUAAAUUUUGGGGGAAAAACAAAGAAAUUGAAAAGGGACUGUCAAAUUUCUAUGUGCUUUCUUAGGAAAUGGAUGUAUCAGUUUGAAUAAAUUUCUAUAUGAACUCAACCGGAUAUUAAUUAUUUUUUUAAUUAUUAUUAUUAUUAUUUUAUUUAGGUUGAUAGAGUUAAAUCAAGGUGGAAUCGAGUUUCCUCUUUUUUAUUUUUUCUUUCUCAGAUAUACACUUUAAAAGUUUAUUCGAGUUCAGAUGCACCCGAUAUAAUUACCCUAUGAAAAAUAUAUUUGCAUUUCAUGAAUAUUGCAUCACUAAUACGUUGAAUCCAAUGGCUUGGUACCCGAAUUAUGGGGUUACAUAUAUAGUUUAAGAAGAUUUCAAACAUUAAAUUAUUUGAUACACUACUAAUGUGUGUGCUGCAUGGACAAUAAUUUGAGGAGUCAGGAUUGAUUUUUCCAUUGUGCUUAUUUAUUUGUGAAGGGAAAUAAUUCUUUCUUGUUAAUUUUACUUCUUGUCGUUGGUAUACUAUGCUAUCAUUUAGGCAGUGCUUAAGAGGUUGAUGACUGAUGUACCUUUUGGCGUUCUUUUGUCGGGAGGACUUGACUCAUCACUUGUCGCUGCUGUGACCAAUCGUUUUUUGGCUCAAUCUGCAGCUGCACAACAGUGGGGAUCGCAGUUGCAUACUUUCUGUAUUGGUUUAAAGGUUAGAAUUCAUUCUUCAAUAUAGGUGAAAAUAAGCCUCAUUAUCCUCCUUUAAAAAAAUAAAUUGGUGUAUUAGAUUGUACAUGCUUCAUUUGAAUUUUGUCACCAUUCAGGGCUCUCCAGAUUUGAAAUUUGCAAAAGAGGUAGCAGAUUAUCUUGGUACUCGACAUCAUGAACUUUAUUUCACAGUUCAGGUGGUUGUUUAUCAUCAUUGCUCUAUUUUUGAAAAACAUUAAUCUUGUCCUGGCAUUUCAAUUUUUUGUUCUUUUUUGUUUUGUACUUUUAUUCCAUAACAGGAAGGUAUAGAUGCACUUGAAGAAGUCAUUUACCACAUUGAAACAUAUAAGUGUUAAGAAAUCUUUUAUAUUUACUGAUUAUUGAUCAACUUCCCCCCAUGAGUUAUAUGUAUUAUCUGUAAAAUGUACUUUUGUUUCGUUUCAUCUUUAUCAUAACAUGGUUAUCAUGCAGUACGAAGAGUAUGGAGAAGAAUUUAUUGAUAUGCUGGAUGGGAUGUUCUCCUUUGUGCUUCUUGACACAAGAGAUAAAAGCUUCAUUGCUGCUCGUGAUGCUAUAGGCAUUACCCCUCUUUACUUGGGAUGGGGGCUUGAUGGUUUGUGGCUUCCUCUUCUUGUUUUUGAUAUUAUGAGACAUUUUUGAAUGUUUCACCUUGAGCUUAAUGAUGUCCCACAUCUCAAAGGUUGUGUUUGGUUACUAUUCUGAGAUAAAGGAAACACAUACACCGGGGAUAGAAAUAAAUUUGUAGAAGGGAACAAAGACAAAAACUUGAAAAUCGUCCCUAUACCAGGAUAAAUCUUUAGAUACUGUCUCUACUUCUAAAAUAGAGAGACACUAAAAACAUGUCUUAGGAAUAUUUUUAAACUAAUUUGUGUAUCUUCUAAAAGAAGAGAUGUUGUUGGAGACGUAUCUCUAUCAUCCUUCGUCUCUUGGUGCGAACCAAAUGCUGGUGAGCUAUCUAUCGUCCAAUUUAAGUCAAUUCGAAAUAUUUCCAGAAUGGUUUUAGUGGCUUUAAAAAGUGAAAUAAAUCACGAGCUGGUUGCCAUCUCAGUGUUUCCAGCAGUUGAAACAUUUUGAGUGUCUAAACCAAUACAUACCCUUGUGUUUUAAGUAUAAUUAACACUACACAACAUAUUGGUUUUCAAACACAAUUUAAUCCUCUCAGUAUAUGGCUUGUUUGUUUAUGCUUUUGUGUCACAUUAAUGAAUCAAAUGUUUUACCUAUGGAAGGGAUGAUUUAUUUGCAGGAUCGACAUGGUUUGCGUCUGAAAUGAAAGCUAUAAGUGAUGAUUGUGAGAGAUUCAUAUCUUUUCCGCCAGGGCAUAUAUAUUCCAGCAAACAGGGUAUAGACAUGUUCAUGCCUUGUAUUCUUGUUCUUUAAAUUAUAAAUUUUUUUUAUAUAUUAUGUAAUCCAUGAACAUUGUUGAAAUAUGUUGUGCUUGUAGGAGGAUUAAGAAGAUGGUACAAUCCACCAUGGUUCACAGAGCAAAUUCCAUCAACACCCUAUGAUCCUCAGAUCCUACGUCAAGCCUUUGAAAAGGUACGACACUAUUUGGUCGUUACAAUGUAAUUCCUUUUCCACUUUGAAAUGAUUCUUCCUCAUUUUAAAAUUUCAAUUAUUCUGCAUAUAUAUUCUUAGAGAGUGGUUCAGAUACUCUUCAAAACUUUAGAUAGCCUGGCAUGCCGUAUUUGUGACUAUUGUACGCUUUGUUUAGGAAUCUGAAACCAUUAGUUUUGAUCGGCAAACUACUUAGGUGGAAGAAGCGUGACAGUAAAUUUUGGGGGAAAAACAAAGAAAUUGAAAAGGGACUGUCAAAUUUCUAUGUGCUUUCUUAGGAAAUGGAUGUAUCAGUUUGAAUAAAUUUCUAUAUGAACUCAACCGGAUAUUAAUUAUUUUUUUAAUUAUUAUUAUUAUUAUUUUAUUUAGGUUGAUAGAGUUAAAUCAAGGUGGAAUCGAGUUUCCUCUUUUUUAUUUUUUCUUUCUCAGAUAUACACUUUAAAAGUUUAUUCGAGUUCAGAUGCACCCGAUAUAAUUACCCUAUGAAAAAUAUAUUUGCAUUUCAUGAAUAUUGCAUCACUAAUAUGUUGAAUCCAAUGGCUUGGUACCCGAAUUAUGGGGUUACAUAUAUAGUUUAAGAAGAUUUCAAACAUUAAAUUAUUUGAUACACUACUAAUGUGUGUGCUGCAUGGACAAUAAUUUGAGGAGUCAGGAUUGAUUUUUCCAAUGUCUAUGCUAUCAUUUAGGCUGUGCUUAAGAGGUUGAUGACUGAUGUACCUUUUGGCGUUCUUUUGUCGGGAGGACUUGACUCAUCACUUGUCGCUGCUGUGACCAAUCGUUUUUUGGCUCAAUCUGCAGCUGCACAACAGUGGGGAUCGCAGUUGCAUACUUUCUAUAUUGGUUUAAAGGUUAGAAUUCAUUCUUCAAUAUAGGUGAAAAUAAGCCUCAUUAUCCUUCUUUAAAAAAAUAAAUUGGUGUAUUAGAUUGUACAUGCUUCAUUUGAAUUUUGUCACCGUUCAGGGCUCUCCAGAUUUGAAAUUUGCAAAAGAGGUAGCAGAUUAUCUUGGUACUCGACAUCAUGAACUUUAUUUCACAGUUCAGGUGGUUGUUUAUCAUCAUUGCUCUAUUUUUGAAAAACAUUAAUCUUGUCCUGGCAUUUCAAUUUUUUGUUCUUUUUUGUUUUGUACUUUUAUUCCAUAACAGGAAGGUAUAGAUGCACUUGAAGAAGUCAUUUACCACAUUGAAACAUAUGAUGUAACGACUAUCAGAGCAAGUACUCCAAUGUUCCUUAUGUCCAGAAAAAUCAAAUCCAUGGGAGUGAAAAUGGUUCUUUCGGGAGAAGGUUCAGAUGAAAUAUUUGGAGGUUACCUAUAUUUCCAUAAAGCACCUAAUAAGGAAGAGUUUCAUGAAGAGACAUGUCGAAAAGUAAUAGCAAAUUGUUACAUCAUCAUGUUUGAUUCAAUGCAAUUUGAAAAUUUAAUGCGCUUAACCUAUUAAAUUUUCU